AACGUAGGACACGAGCGUUAUCCGGAGUUACUGGGCGUAAAGGGCGCGUAGGCGGCCUGCUAAGUCACACGUGAAAUCCCUCGGCUCAACCGGGGAACUGCGUGUGAUACUGGCGGGCUUGAAUUCGGGAGAGGGAUGUGGAAUUCCAGGUGUAGCGGUGAAAUGCGUAGAUAUCUGGAGGAACACCGGUGGCGAAGGCGGCAUCCUGGACCGAGAUUGACGCUGAGGCGCGAAAGCUAGGGGAGCAAACGGG
rnacentral:rRNA from 1 species